UCACCCUUAGCCGCGCAACCACACACACUUUCCUCUGCAAAAAUCCGAACACAGCCUUACCACAGAGGUUCUCGAUCUGGAAGUUUAGCCAUGACAAAGAAAACGCAAACCAGCUACAACCUUGCAGAUCUGGUUCCUGCAAAAGAUCUGUGACAGACCCGAGAAAGAACUCUCAAACUGAAAAUCCACUGGACAUAAAGCAUGGCCCAUCAUGAAGGUUUUGAUCUUUCGACUAUGAAGGAAAUGUGGUCACUGAUAGAUCCGUGGGAAAUAAAGUGGACGGCGAGACCUCAGCUGCAAUAGACAAAAACGGGACAAGCUUCUAAGAACCCAGAUCGGUGAAUCUGGGAGGUAAAAUUUCAUAUCCUUGCAAGUGGAAUUGUUGUAGAUCUGGUAAUAAUAGCUGUACUCAGUUCUGUGGUGUAUGGAUCUGUGAUUUAAUUGUGCUUCCUCCAUGCAUCGCACAACUGAGCUGCAGAAAAUUAACUGCUC